GUGAACGCUGGCGGUAGGCCUAACACAUGCAAGUCGAACGGCAGCACCGUAAGAGCUUGCUCUUACGGGUGGCGAGUGGCGGACGGGUGAGGAAUACAUCGGAAUCUACUUUUUCGUGGGGGAUAACGUAGGGAAACUUACGCUAAUACCGCAUACGACCUACGGGUGAAAGCAGGGGAUCUUCGGACCUUGCGCGAUUGAAUGAGCCGAUGUCGGAUUAGCUAGUUGGCGGGGUAAAGGCCCACCAAGGCGACGAUCCGUAGCUGGUCUGAGAGGAUGAUCAGCCACACUGGAACUGAGGCACGGUCCAGACUCCUACGGGAGGCAGCAGUGGGGAAUAUUGGACAAUGGGCGCAAGCCUGAUCCAGCCAUACCGCGUAGGUGAAGAAGGCCUUCGGGUUGUAAAGCCCUUUUGUUGGGAAAGAAAAGCAGCAGGUUAAUACCCCGCUGUUCUGACGGUACCCAAAGAAUAAGCACCGGCUAACUUCGUG
rnacentral:rRNA from 1 species